AUGGAGGUAACUUUUUGGCGUGGUAUAUUAACUAAACAAUGAGAGGCUGUAAAUUGUCAGGUGAACUAAGCUCUUCCAAGUUUGAACUAAGCUCUUCCAAGUUCCAAGUGUCAGGGACAAUAUUGCCUAUUUGGGUUUGGAACCUAACCAUUGGCAGUACAAUAAUGCUAGACCAGAUGAUGUAGGGGAACUUUUACAUGCUCAGUGGGAAAGGCACAGCUACAAAACCUAUGCAAUGAUACCACAAUAUAAGAGUUUAGCCAACAUUUUGACACAACAAUCCCAAAUUCUUCCAUACAGUUACUAUGGCUUCCCCAAGUUUUCCUCUUCCAGUUUGUUUAGAAUCUCCUCAACAUUUUUAAUACAAUAAAUUUUCAGUCA